rnacentral:tRNA from 1 species
GCCUUAGUGGUGUAAUGGCCGCACGGAGGACUGUGGAUCCUCAAGCCCGGGUCCGAUUCCCGGCUAAGGCC